GUACCAUGCUGAAUAUACCGGUUCUCGUUACAUCACCGAAGUCAAGCAUCAUUGGGCGCGGUCAGUACUUGGGUGGGUGACCACCUGGGAACACCGCGUGCCGUU
rnacentral:rRNA from 1 species